UUGGUCAUUUAGAGGAAGUAAAAGUCGUAACAAGGUCUCCGUAGGUGAACCUGCGGAGGGAUCAUUACAAGUGACCCCGGUCUUACCACCGGGAUGUUCAUAACCCUUUGUUGUCCGACUCUGUUGCCUCCGGGGCGACCCUGCCUUCGGGCGGGGGCUCCGGGUGGACACUUCAAACUCUUGCGUAACUUUGCAGUCUGAGUAAACUUAAUUAAUAAAUUAAAACUUUUAACAACGGAUCUCUUGGUUCUGGCAUCGAUGAAGAACGCAGCGAAAUGCGAUAAGUAAUGUGAAUUGCAGAAUUCAGUGAAUCAUCGAAUCUUGGAACGCACAUUGCGCCCCCUGGUAUUCCGGGGGGCAUGCGUGUUCGAGCGUCAUUUCACCACUCAAGCCUCGCUUGGUAUUGGGCAACGCGGUCCGCCGCGUGCCUCAAAUCGACCGGCUGGGUCUUCUGUCCCCUUAGCGUUGUGGAAACUACUCGCUAAAGGGUGUUCGGGAGGUACGCCGUAAAACACACCCCAUUUCUAAGGUGACCUCAGAUCAGGUAGU
rnacentral:rRNA from 1 species